rnacentral:piRNA from 1 species
UGCCACUGUUGCCACUUUGAAAUUUUU